rnacentral:rRNA from 1 species
GUUGAACGCUGGCGGCAGGCCUAACACAUGCAAGUCGAACGAGUGGCGAACGGGUGAGUAAUGUCUGGGCAACUUCCUGUUGGAGGGGGGUAACUACUGGAAACGGUCGCUAAUACCGCAUUCCAUCAGAUUUGCCCAUCGGUGAUUAGCUGGUUGGUGGGGUAACGGCUCACCAAGGCGACGAUCCCUAGCUGGUCUGAGAGGAUGAACAGCCACACUGGAACUGAGACACGGCCCAGACUCCUACGGGAGGCAGCAGUGGGGAAUAUUGCACAAUGGGCGCAAGCCUGAUGCAGCCAUGCCGCGUGUAUGAAGACGGCCUUCGGGUUGUAAAGUACUGUCAGCGGGGAGGCGGUACCCGCAGAAGAAGCACCGGCUAACUCCGUGCCAGCAGCCGCGGUAAAUC